rnacentral:hammerhead_ribozyme from 1 species
GUAGUCCUGAGGAGUCCCAAACUAGGACGAAACAGCUGUCCAUUAC